UAGGGAAUCUUCGGCAAUGGACGAAAGUCUGACCGAGCAACGCCGCGUGAGUGAAGAAGGUUUUCGGAUCGUAAAACUCUGUUGUUAGAGAAGAACAAGGACGUUAGUAACUGAACGUCCCCUGACGGUAUCUAACCAGAAAGCCACGGCUAACUACGUGCCAGCAGCCGCGGUAAUACGUAGGUGGCAAGCGUUGUCCGGAUUUAUUGGGCGUAAAGCGAGCGCAGGCGGUUUCUUAAGUCUGAUGUGAAAGCCCCCGGCUCAACCGGGGAGGGUCAUUGGAAACUGGGAGACUUGAGUGCAGAAGAGGAGAGUGGAAUUCCAUGUGUAGCGGUGAAAUGCGUAGAUAUAUGGAGGAACACCAGUGGCGAAGGCGGCUCUCUGGUCUGUAACUGACGCUCAGGUGCGAAAGCGUGGGGAGCAAACAGG
rnacentral:rRNA from 1 species